UCCCGCGCCAUUUGCGUGCACGCGCGUGAGAGGGGACCAGGCACGCAACCGUUAGGAGACUGUCUGGAGUCUGUCUCAAAUUGAUAAAUUUGGAAAUGGAGUUUUACGGGUCUCUGUGCAUCUACAAGGAAGCCGCCUGCUGGGAAAUUUGGAUCUUUGCGCUCCUCCUCAGACGUCGCUUCACCUUGAGUCGCCACGCUUUUGACGAAAUGUUUAUUUUUCUUCUUUAGAAAACAAAAAACCCAAAGUUUUUUUCCCCCUCUUCUGCAGUCCAUCAGCAGGCAGACAGCUCCUUGUGCCCAGGGAAUUGUUCCUCACCCAUGGAGUUCAAGAUGAGUGCAUCAUGCACGAGGCAGCCUAUAAAAGCACAUAAAGCUGCUGACAUUGACAGUUAUGAUUUCCUGUCAACAAAUGUGCAGAGAGAGCUGUGCUGGUGGACUAGGAGGAAGAUGUCACACUAAGGAUGGGGUUUUUUGGCGAUGAUGUUGGUGCUGUUGAUGCAGCAUCGAGCUCUCACUUUGUGCCUCUGUCAGCUAUGAUCCGUAACCAUAAAGUGAGUGACAGGCCAUUCUCCGGGGGGAAAGCAGAGGUCUGAGAAGCUCAGGCUCCUUUCAGAGGCAGCGAAGAAGACUGACCGUCUCGAAGACAGUGCUGGGAGCAGCCCCCAAUCUGCUCCAACGCUAGUCGCUGGCCGUUAGACAUGGCGUUCAAAGACUAGCGGUGCAAGUAUGGAAAUGCAGAUAAGGCAUUGUUGAGGAAACAUGCCUGGGAAUUGUUCAAGGUUUUCACUUGCAUAAUGUUUGGAUGUUUUUUUGUUGUUUUUUUUGCAAAUGUUUUAAUCUGGAAACUAAUGAAUGUGAUUUUGAUUAGAUUUCAUGGAGAUUUCUUAUGUUUACACAUACAUUUGUGAACAUGUAAUGUAUUUUUUUGAGUAAACCAACAUAAUAAAGGUUUUAUGUAUGUAUACUCACUAGACGACUACAAAAAGAGCCAGAAACCUACUCAUGUAUAAUCUCCAAGGUUUUAUUUACUCUUUUCCGGCUUUUCAGGAGGCAGUUAAUUACACAAUUAAUACAUGAUACAAAUUAUGUACAUUUAUACCAAAGAAUACUUCCAACAUAAAAUAAAAAAUAGCAUUGUAUUCUA